rnacentral:rRNA from 1 species
AUGCACGCUGGCGGCGUGCCUAAUACAUGCCAGUCGAGCGAACAGACGAGGAGCUUGCUCCUCUGACGUUAGCGGCGGACGGGUGAGUAACACGUGGAUAACCUACCUAUAAGACUGGGAUAACUUCGGGAAACCGGAGCUAAUACCGGAUAAUAUAUUGAACCGCAUGGUUCAAUAGUGAAAGACGGUUUUGCUGUCACUUAUAGAUGGAUCCGCGCCGCAUUAGCUAGUUGGUAAGGUAACGGCUUACCAAGGCAACGAUGCGUAGCCGACCUGAGAGGGGGGUCGGCCACCCUGGAACGGAGACCCGGUCAAGAAUCCGACGGGAGGCAGAAGUAGGGAAUCAUCGACAAUGGGCGAAAGCCUGACGGAGCAACGCCGCGUGAGAGAUAAAGGUCUUCGGAUCGUAAAACUCUUUUAUUGGGGAAGAACAAAGGUGUAAGGAAAUAUGCACGGCUUGACGUAACCUAAUCAGAAAGCCACGGCUAACUACGUG